rnacentral:misc_RNA from 1 species
AACGCACAUUGCGCUCCUUGGUAUUCCGGGGAGCACGCCUGUUUGAGAAUCAUUGAAAUCUAUCACCACUUGUUGUUGUCUUCUAACGGAGAUGUUCGGCAUUGGUGGAUUUGAACUUUUCUUUCCCUCAGGGAAAGAAUGGUUUUAAAUUGAAUGUCGGGAGAUUGCUCGCAAUUGCCAAGCAUUGAAUCUCAAGCGCAUGAAAGGGUGUUUUCACUUUGGUAGUACGCUUGUUUGGUGAGGCUUUAGUGAGUGGUUUAACGAAUUGACCAGCCUCUGGUCACUUAAGAUGUUUGGGGACAGUAUGUCUCUGAGCUCUUGAACUCUUGGUCUCAAAUCAGGUGGGAAAACCCGCUGAACUUAA